GAGGGAGAGGCUUUAUCUGCGCUUCCUCGCGUUCCUGGGCUGUUACAUCCCUCUCCUGGCUGCCGCACGUGUUUGUGCAGCGUCCCGCGGCGAGGGAAGAGCUGAAGUUUGUUAGAGCUCGUUGCUGGAGUUUCCAAAAAGUGUGCCACAGUUUUUUGGAGGGCGAAGGAGUGGCUGGGAGGUGCAGGGAGCAGCUCUGGAAGGUGCAAGCUGCGAGUUCAGCGGGGCUCGGCUCGGCCCCGCGCUCCGUCCCACCAGGCACAUUUUUAUAUUUGUUUAGGUGCUUGAGCACAGCGCUGUCAGCACAUGGGAAAGGAGCUGGUCCUGCCGGAGUGUGUGCAGCAAAUCCAACACAGCCCAGGCAGAGAUCGACUCCGCCUGACAUCUGGAGCAGGCAAGGAAUCAUCCCGGAAUGUUUUUCUUAGUGCAAAGUGUGGCUAUCCGGGCAGAAAAGCAAAGCUAGGCACCCUAAAGCUGCUCGAUGGCAGAGGAAGAUUUGGGAGUGCUGGUAUCCAAGUGAGUGGUGGUUUUCUGGCUGGCUGUAGGAUGGGAGAAGGAGCUUCCCAGGCUUUUCUCCUGCUCUGGGUGAUGUGGAAAUGGCUUGGGCAGCUGAAGAGCCACUGGGCAAACACGUGGUCCCUGCAACAAGGUGAGAGUCUGCCCCUGACUUUAACAGCUAAAUCCACAGGAGCUCCUCACUCCAAGCCUUGGGCUGGUUUUACAUCUGAUUUUAGCCAAGCCUGAACAACGCUGGCACUUAGAUAAAGCUUUGUUUUCCUUCUCUUCUUCGCAUCUCCUCCCAAGCAGCCUGGAGAUGAUUGGAGAAAGCUGCAUCUUCCACUACUCCAGUGAGUCAAGAAGGACUCAAAUUCCUGGUCUUGAUGUUAGACUGGCUUUGUUCUGUGCAGCAGGAAUAAGAAAAACCCCGACUGAAACACAAAAGCGGCUGGGCUGUUAAAGGCUCCAGCCCACGGAAGGAGGGGAAAUACAUUUUCUCCUGUGCCAAAGCGAGCUGGGACACCAAAAUCCCUCACCUCGCAGCCCCGAUGUGAAAGCCAGGUUGCCUCCCCUCCACACGUCUGCAGCACUGCUGCUCCCGGUGCCCCCAGGGGAAAACAGGGCAGCAGCAAGCCCUGCCAGCUGUGUCCAACAGCACAGCACAGCGUGGUGCCAAGGCCUGGGCACUGGCAGGGGGCAAGGCUGGGGUGCACAGCAGGGCUGGGAAGCCUUGGAGGGAUGCUCGGGAUGAGAGAUGCGUUGUUGCACCGUUGGCAGCACUGCUUGAGUGGCUUCAUCCCUGGCAGCUUGAGCAGGGGUUUAUCCAACUCCCAAACUCCCCAGGGAUGUGGCUCGCUCAGCUGCCUCAGCUCGAGGAAGGAGAAGCAUCUGGCUGGUGUCAGAGCUGGUUGUGGCCAAGAGAGCAAUGAGGCAUCACUGCACUGUGCCUUGAGCCGGGAUCUGCUGAUCGGGGACCUCCUGGGCUGUUUGCUCCCAGGAUAUCUCCCAGCCACUGCUGCCUGGUGCCCUUGGAAAGCUGCUGGAUUCAUUGCUGGUGUUGCUUGGAAAACCCUGCUCAGGCAUCUUUACCUGUGAGCUCGGCUGAGACUAAAAUAGGAACAUCUCAAGGAAUAAAAGGAUUCUUGAAAGAACUCCAUACCACCUGCCAUGGGAUGCCAAAGGGUUCGUGUUUAGCUGAACCCCUCUGCCCAUGCACCAGGCUCCCUGGGAAUCUGGUUUUUAACCUGGGACAGAAAAAUGGGGAAAAUGGCAAAGGUUUUAUAUUUGAUCUGGAUUAACCAGGAGCAUCCAGAGCCAGCACCACUCCCCAGGGGACAGCUGGAGGCAAAGCAGGCAGUGCUGUGGGAUACACAUGCCACUGCCAUCCCACUCACUGGAGCACGUCUUGGAAGGGGAUUUGGGGAUUUUGGAGCCACUGGAAGCAGAGCUGGCUGGGAAUCUUUUUGCUAAGGCACGUGUUGGAGUCACUCGGUCAGAUGGAACCUCUCAGAGCGAUGUGUGGUGCCUGCCAAGGCUGAGGCUGGGAACUCUUUCCUCCAUCCAAAGGGAGAAAAAAGGGGAUCCAGGAGGAGCAAAGGCUUUGCAGAAGCGCAUUCAGGCUGAGUGCUGUCUCCAGCUCUCUGCAGUGGCCACAAGCACAAGGAAUGGCUGUCACCGACACCUCCUUGGCCACCCGAGAGCCCUGACGUGGUGCCAGGACCUGCCAUGGUGUGGGUGUCCUCAGUGAGUGACAUUCCCAGAGCCUCUUGUUCUGUGCAUGGUGUCUUGGAUAAAAGAAUUUAGGUUGGAAGGGACUUUCAAAAGUCCUUCAGUCCAAUCCCCUGCCAUGGGCAGGGCCUUCUUCAACCUCAGAGCCCCAUCCAGCCUGGCUUGGAUGUUUCCAGGGAUGGGAUGAGCUGGCAGUGGGCAGCGCUCCUUAAUUCCCACCUCGAAGCAGACCCUUGAGCCCAAGCCAACCUCACUUCCAACGCCCUAUGCUCUCCCUUCCCUUUCUCUUUUAGGAAAAUCUUGGAGGCAGCCACUUCUGUGUGGUGGGAAACAGGAAAAUUUGGGGAAUUCUUCAGCAGGCCAUCAGCGUUGCUGCUGCCCUGGGCACGGGAGAGGCUGCGCUGAGGGCGAGCGCCUUUCAGCUGCUCCUUGGUGUAAAUCUGACCCACGAGCUCACCCAGCUCAUAGACACUGCCUCCUGAAAAGGCAGUAAAUCACCCAAAACCCUCAGUCAGAGCUGGCUUGGGAAUGUUUUAUGGUGGAAUUAGAAUAAUGAAUGAGGAGCCUGCUGUUUGUGUUAGUUUUGGCUUGCGAGCUGCCGAAGAAGUCUGGCGCAGAGCUCGGUGAUAAACUUUCCUCACCAGUGGGCCCUGAGGUUGGAAACAACUUUUUAAAGCCUCCAGGGCCCAGGAGGGUGAGAGGCUGGCACAGCACGAGCUGAGUGAAAGUUAGGGCUGAGAUAAGAGGCCUGGGUGUGUUUUGGGGCAGGAUGAGCCCUUGCUGCCGGAGGAUCCAAGCUCUCCAAAGCUUUGGACACUGUCCUCCUUGGGCUUGGCAGGAGCUGCAGGAGCAGCUGCAGGAGCAAAGUGAGUUGGCCAAACCUGCAAGAACCCAGCUGUUUCCAUGCUCUGAGGAGCCAAACGCACUGGGAUGCUUUGGGAUUGCUCCACACCUGGUGGCAGGUCACCCACCACGCAUUCCUGUCCAGCUUUGCUCUCAGAUCCCUGCUUGAGCUCGGGGGGAUAAAAUGAGCUUUGUGCUCUGACUCUGCCAGAGCUGCAGGGGCUGGAGAGAACUUGGCUGUGGUUUUCCCGAGCUUUGACAUGGGUCUGGAUGGCUCCUGGGUCGAGCUGGGCCAGUUUUCCUCUGGCUGGGGGAAGACACUCUGGGAAAACCCGAGGAGCUGCUAGUUAGUGGGACACAGUCCAGAUGGAUGGGGAGCAUUUCUGCGUUAGUGUGAAUGAUCCAGUCAUGCAGUUCCAAUGCAUGAUCCCUAAUCCAUGCACGCUGCAACAAAUUCCCAUUUUUCUGGAGCGCACUCUGCACUCUGAGGGCACUGGGAGGAGUGAGCACCUGGAUGUGCUGAGCUCCCUCCACAAUGCAGCAGGGCUCUCCAAAGAGCUGCAUUUGCCUUCCCUUCUCUGCAUCCAGGAUUUUAUUUCCUGGUGGUCCUUCUUGCCCCUUGACAACUCCUGCUGCUUGGUUCUGAGUGGGACACUCCUUUCACCAAGGUUUAGGAACCUUCUUCUCCAAAUCUUUACCCCAGCAGAUGGACCCAAAUCUUAAUUCUCCCACAGUUUUACCAGAGGUCAAAACCUGGCAAAACUCACAGUCUCAUUUUUGCGUCCAUGGUUGAUUUUCUACUUCUCAAGGGCUGUAAUCAAUGUCAUCUUUCCAGAAUAAAUCCCAGUUCACCUGGCCUUGCCAUUUCUCAUCUUUUUGGUCUUUUUUUUUUCUCUGGAUUUUUGAACUUUGCUUUCUCAAAUUGUUUAAAAAGACAUGUUUGAUGAUGGGAAAUGACUCAGAGCUGCACCGAAGCCUCUUCCACCUGGUGAGCCAUGAAACGCAGUUUGCAGGUGGAGCCUCCCCUUUGGUCUACGUUGGAUAAGCUGACGCCUUUGUGGGGGCUGCUUAAAAGGCGGAAUUUGAAUUCCCAAAAUUCGGAAAGGGCAGAAUUUUCUGCCCUGCUGCAUCUCCUGUGAGCGAUCACAGGGGAAGAGUCCAGGCUGGGCCUCGGCGUCCCCACGAGCCCCAAGGCCGUGAGAGUCCUCGCCGAGCCCGUGGGCUCUGCACGCCCGCCGGGUGCUCGGGGCAGAGACAGGGCCCCGCUCAGCUCCCCUCGCUCAGCCCCAGCCGGAGCCGGGCGGGGAGCGCCGGCCGUGCUGAGCUCAGCUCAGCUCCUGCAGGCCCGGCUGCGGCUGCACGGGGCCAGGCAGGACUUUUGGUCGUGUUUUGAGCUGUUUGGGAUGUCCGGCAGGAGCAGCGGGGCUUGGAGGGAGGAGAGCAGCGUGAGGGAUCCCUCGGUGUCCCCUGGUGCCACCCCGAAGCCACCCUGGUGUCCCCACAGCCACCGCCCAGCCCGGCCUCACCGCGUCCUUCCGUGGCCCCUCUCCUCCUUCCCUGAACCCGACCACACUCGGUUUGAGUUGAUCUCGGGUUUAUUUUGGAGCUGGAUCAGCCUCCCCUGAGGCCAGGCCUGUGGCUGCCUCCUGGCCAAGUGGCUCUCUCAGGGGCAGCCUUUAUCUCUUUGAAGAUUAGGGGGCUUUAAUAUGUCUUUAAAGUGAAUUUCAUCCCCCCCCCCCCCCACUUCUCUGUUUUAUUAUGAUAAUUGAUGACCAGCAAACUUUUCUUUUCCUUUAUCUCUUAAAUAUGUUUCUUUACCCUUAAAAAUGCAAUAUUUCUUUUAACUGGGAAUAUGGAUGGGUCUGUGCGGAGUGGGGCUGCCUUGGAAUCAUCUGUCAAUUUGAUCGUGUAAAGCCUCUGUUUUCAGCUGGCAUCCAGUGCAGAUUUCAAAGCUGUGACUCACCCCUUCUUAGCAGAGCUAGGGGUGAAAAAAAAAGGGUAAUAAAAUGAAAAAAAAUUU
rnacentral:lncRNA from 13 species